rnacentral:lncRNA from 1 species
UAUCACCAUGCAAUCUCAGAAUCCAACAGUAAGUUUUGACUCUAGUUCCCACCUUUCAGUCUGCUAAAUAUUUCCCAGAUUGCAUAAGACUGUUUACCUUGUGCUGUUCUCUUGUAGGUAAAUCUCUCACCAAUAUUCAUUGCUCCUGAGCAGAAAGCUUACAGACUGCUUUCUCUCUAUUCCAGGAUCCCCCUCCAGGAAAACUAACGUCAUUUGGAAGAGUAUGCACCAGUUCAUCCUCAGUAAGUGAAUAGACUUCUACCACUGUCUUAAAUAGAAUAAAGAGUCAA